UACGAAGGGGGCUAGCGUUGCUCGGAAUCACUGGGCGUAAAGGGUGCGUAGGCGGGUCUUUAAGUCAGGGGUGAAAUCCUGGAGCUCAACUCCAGAACUGCCUUUGAUACUGAAGAUCUUGAGUUCGGGAGAGGUGAGUGGAACUGCGAAGUGUAGAGGUGAAAUUCGUAGAUAUUGGGAAGAACACCGGUGGCGAAGGCGGCUCACUGGCUCAUUACUGAGCUCAGGCGCGAUAGCGUGGGGAUCAAACAGG
rnacentral:rRNA from 1 species